GAUGAACGCUGGCGGCGUGCCUAAUACAUGCGAGUCGAGCGAACAGACGAGGGGCUUGCUCCUUUGACGUUAGCGGCGGACGGGUGAGUAACACGUGGGUAACCUACCUAUAAGACUGGGAUAACUUCGGGAAACCGGAGCUAAUACCGGAUAAUAUUUCGAACCGCAUGGUUCGAUAGUGAAAGAUGGCUUUGCUAUCACUUAUAGAUGGACCUGCGCCGUAUUAGCUAGUUGGUAAGGUAACGGCUUACCAAGGCAACGAUACGUAGCCGACCUGAGAGGGUGAUCGGCCACACUGGAACUGAGACACGGUCCAGACUCCUACGGGAGGCAGCAGUAGGGAAUCUUCCGCAAUGGGCGAAAGCCUGACGGAGCAACGCCGCGUGAGUGAUGAAGGUCUUCGGAUCGUAAAACUCUGUUAUUAGGGAAGAACAAACGUGUAAGUAACUGUGCACGUCUUGACGGUACCUAAUCAGAAAGCCACGGCUAACUACGUG
rnacentral:rRNA from 1 species